AAGUCGUAACAAGGUUUCCGUAGGUGAACCUGCGGAAGGAUCAUUAACAAAUCCUGUUGUUGUAUGUUUGUUCAUGUGGAUGUCAUUUCAUUUCACGUGUUCAAAUGUACACAAACACACGUUCCAUGUGCACGUUCAUUCUUGCACAUGACAUUUCUACGAAUCGUCUGAUCAUUCAUUUAUUCAAAUCAUAACAAUAACUUUUAACAAUGGAUCUCUAGGCUCUU
rnacentral:misc_RNA from 1 species